GAUGAACGCUAGCGGCAGGCUUAAUACAUGCAAGUCGAGGGGUAGCAAGAUUGUAGCAAUACAAUUGUUGACGACCGGCAAACGGGUGCGGAACACGUACACAACCUUCCUACAAGUGGGGAAUAGCCCAGAGAAAUUUGGAUUAAUACCCCGUAACAUAGCGAUGUGGCAUCACAUUGCUAUUAUAGCUUCGGCGCUUGUUGAUGGGUGUGCGGCUGAUUAUAGAGUUGGCGGGGUAACGGCCCACAAAGUGUACGAUCAGUAGCUGAUAGAGGAGCAUGAUCAGCCAAAGGGGCAGUGAGACACGGGCCCGAAUCGGACGGGGAGCAGCAGUAAGGAAUAUUAGAGAAUGGAAGCAAGUCUGAUCCAGCCAUGGCUCGUGAAGGAUUAAGGUCCUCUGGAUUGUAAACUUCUUGUAUAAGGGAAGAAAAAAGGUCUUUCUAGAUCGUCUGACGGUACCUUAUGAAUAAGCACCGGCUAACUCCGUGCCAGCCGCCGCAGUAACAC
rnacentral:rRNA from 1 species